AGCUUAUAGGACGUACAGAAAGAGGCAGCAAGUGGAAUGGUGAGCUGGAGUUUGCUGACCCCCAGGUCAGGGCUUUUUGGCAGAACCCAGUCCAGGAGGAUACAGAGAGAAGACAGGAACAAGCUUUGGAGUUGACACAUUCCUAGAACUGGAGCAGACAUGGAGCCAUAGCCAGAACACGGCAUUUUACAAAUGAGGAAUAGGCAGAAGGCUUCUUGCCACAAAAUCCCUAGGUAUAAUAAGCCAUGUGAAACACCUGCAUCUGGCCAUCGGCUCCUGAAAUUCAGACUCCGUAUCUUUGGAGGAAAUGGAGAAAUGAAUUUAUCCUUGAUCUUGAUCCAAUUUGGAUGUAGACCAACAAAGGUGUGAGCUCUUAGGAGG